UGAAUGCGCAGGCGCACUCCAUUUCCCUCCCUCCCCCUCCCCUCGGUGUGGCUCCGGGUGCUGGCAUCCCACGCUACGCCACUGUGGCUGGUAGCCCUUGACAGCCCUCUCUGCUCCUCCAUGUAUUUGUCUGAUCCUCUUUUAGAGCCAUCUACGAGAGUUGGUGGCCCUCCCUUCCUCCUGAGGGAGGGAGUUCCGUAGGUUAACUCUGAACUGCUUGAAGACAGCUUUUCUUACAUCCAUCCUGGAUCUUCCAAUAUUCAGCAUCAUUGGAUGUCUGGGCAUUCUAGUGGCAGCUGAGAUACCGUCUCCUUGCGAGGCCUGGGACUUGGGGACUGGAGGAGCAGGAGGAGGAAGAAGCUCUCGCCAUCCUUCCAUGCCAAAGCAGACUCUCGGAGAGUAAGGAUGUAACUGAAGCUCUCCAGGUUCACCCAGACUCAGGCUGGAAUCCAGGCUGUGGUCGGAGACAGAGCUCUGCUUCUUGGUCUGUUGGAAUUAUUUCAUAUUUUGUAAGAUGUUGAGCCUGUGUCUUGGACGGGUAUAUGUCUCAUGGACAGAUUGUGAAGCUGAGGCUCCAAGACUUUGGCCACCUCAUGAGAAGAGAAGACUCCCUGGAAAAGACCCUGAUGUUGGGAAAGAUUGAGGGCACUAGGAGAAGGGGACGACAGAGGACGAGAUGGUUGGACAGUGUUCUCGAAGCUACCAACAUGAGUUUGACCAAACUGCGGGAGGCAGUGCGAGACAGGAGUGCCUGGCGUGCUCUGGUCCAUGGGGUCACGAAGAGUCGGACACGACUAAACAACAACAACAACAACAACAACAACAACAACAACAUGUCUCAUGGAAUUGUUUCGAUGUAUCAUUUGAUAUUUUUGUUUUGUUUUGAAGAAAGUUCUGCAAGUGAAGCUGCUGAAUAAUAUCUCAUGGGUCUGGACAAUGCUCCAUGUCCAAACAGAGUCAGUUUUUAGGCAUCCAGUUGCUUCAAAUAGCACAAUAUUAAU